ensembl:lincRNA
CCAACACAGGUCACUGCAGCCACGGUAUGAUCUCCCUGAGAGUGCUGCUGGGAAGAGAGGCAUGCAGCUGAGAUGCCACUCUCCUGCUCCUGCAGUGCCAACUGUUGGCCAUCCAGAGUCCCUGUACACUGUGACUUACCGGAAGUGCCUGCACACAAACUUCUUCCAGACAGCAGAUGUGACAAGUGUACGAACUGUGCCACACAACCACCCAGGCACCGGGGCUUCAGAGCUCAUGUCUACGGGAUGGAGCAUGAAACCCAACCACAGGCCUCACUGCUGCACUUGGGGCUCCUCAGUCCAAGGCUCUGGAUGAGAGUGACAAGAAUUAUUGUGAAACAGCGGAUACCAAGCGUCACGUCCCGAGCAUUUCCGAAAGACACUGCACAUGUGCAUCAAUCUUAUCCAAAGCUGUGCUGCCUACUUGGAACUUCGACAUGACCACAAAGAGACAGAAACCAAUACUCAGAUGACUGUUACUUAAUGGCACCCGGAAGGAACGCAGUUAAGUGGAAACGCUGUAACCCAGAGGCCUCCUCCUCCUAUCGGUGCCUGGCCUUCUCCGUCCAUCCUUGCAACACCAAAACGCAUUCUGGUAAGUUACAGCGGAUGUGAGGUGAGCCCCACCCCUCAGGUGAGCAUCCCAGUGAGUGCACAGAGCGCUCUCCUACACCACCCACCACCCUGCAUAACAUUCAAACCCUCCAGGGUCUCCAGGGCCCAGCUCAGCACCACAACCUUCCCUUGAGGGUCUUUGUACUCACUGGGAGGGAGCAGAGCAUGUGGCUAAAAAUUCAGCCCAGAUAUCCCCACCAAGAUUAGAAUUCUGGCUUACCUACCCAUUGCGUGUGUAAGGUGUGGUUGUGAGAACUGGAGAGCAAAAUACAAAGGCUGAACUAUAUAAAAGAACACAGCACAGUGAGCAUGGAUACACAGGCUCACAGGGCGCUCCUGUGGUCCCGAGAAGCGCUCAGGCCCAGGCCUUCGUCUCAGCCCUCCUGGCCGGACCUGCUCAUCGCUCACCCCCACUACCACGCAAGCUGGAGUGUAAAUAUCGGCUUCUGGGCCCUCUUUACCCGGCAGUGCCCGACACAGAUCUUCGGUAUCUAACAGCCGUUCGUAUUUAGUGAACAUUUGAAUGACUCAGUUACCCAAAAAUGUCAUAUAAGUGUAAUGGCAAUUAAGAAGAAAUAAAAUCUCUGCCACCUCGUUUAGGCUCCGAAGGCCCCAGUGCCUGCCUCUGCUGACCUUCUGUUGCAGCAGGGCGGCCCUAAGCCAUGUGACCCUGCUAGCUUAGUGGGAGGCCCAACCCAGGUGUGGGCAGCCCUAGAUGUUGACAGAGAAGCAGUACACUUCCACGCACUUAGAAAGACUCCUCUUCUAGACGAAGUUCUGUGGAAGUUUAAGUUGCUCUACAUGUCCUCUUCUCUAAAGAGUGCUGAAAUGUUCUCAGUAGCCCUUACCUUUUGCUGGGGUUGAAUACACACAAUGGCUGAGUCGAAGGACUUGCCCGUCUAAGACUCCUGAAUGCUGCUAAACCCCUUUCUAGGAAUGCUGUGCUCCCAGCACAGCUUCUGAUUACCUAUUCCUUUACCUCCACAGCUGUGUGGCCUCAAUUUUUAUGUUAGUUUUAUGGCAACGGAAUGGCAUCUCGGUGAUUUCACUCCCAGUUUUCAGGUUACAGUGAGGCUGACAAUGUUUUCCACCAGCCUGCAGAGGCAAACCAGGGUGCCUGCCUCUUCCUCACUGUUCUGAAAACAUUCUGACAACAUUAAGGACAGGACUUCUUCACUAGUCAUCCAACUCGUCAGGCACUCACUCCGUCCCUCGUUUCUUGGGUAUGUUUUGAUCUGUACAAGUUUUUAGCUGUAAGUACACAAAUACUGUGGUUUUAAUCAGGAUUUAGGUGUCAUUUUCAAAGGCUUUCUUUGUCCCAGGAAUGCCACUUGUAUUCUCAUAUUUCAUCUGUAUCCACACGCGAUUUCAUAUUGCAUUUCAGUCCAUGCAGUGUUCAGACACUGCGGCCGAGAUGGGCUUGAAGUUCCCUGUCCUCGACCCUUUUGUUUACAUACAGCCUCCAAAGAGCAGCACCAUCCUCUGCUACUCAGGGGACACCGCUGAUCCC